UCAAAGCAGUCUAUUUCCGAUGAAUCGAUCAGUCCGAGCAAGAUGACGACAGCCUCACACAAUUAGCAUCAGCGGAAGAAUUGCGACUCUUCUUACUCAAGUCACCCGAUCAUCUUUGUCGCGAACCGGUCGUAGCCUUCCAGGCGACUCACUAAGGACAUCGACGUGGCGAUCCUUGAUGCCGUUGAUGCACCGUUUGACCGACUCGUCGCUGCACACGUCCAGCACGGCCAGAGAGAGCGUUUUCCCAUACGCUUCGCCGGCGGCUUCCACCAACUUGUCCUUGCGCUUCAGGUCCCGCAUCGUAGCCACGACUGCGGACGGAGCAAGCAAAGGAAAUACCUCCAGUGCGGGAAUGAGGCCGAGGCUACAAACGGCGGAGCAGAGAUUACGGCUGAACGAGGCUAUAAAAAGACGCUCACUACGCUGCGCCGUGUCAAACUGAGUUCACUGGCUGACACGUAACACACAAAAGAUGCAGUUGAGUGGGUGUCGUUUGAAGGAUUCCCCGCUUUGUCUGCGUUGCACGGACAAAAUGGCACAAACGCAUCAUAAAUCGUGUCAAAGUGGUGAUGGGAUGGACGGAUUGGAUGAAUCUUGAUGCUAAAGAUGCUCACGUGCGCCAAAUGUAACGCAAAGUAGCCUUAGCGCAUGAGAUACUUGACAUAUUGGUAUCAGUGCCCUGGAAUAGCCCUCAACAGCCCCCAUCAUUAUUGCAACGUAUCUUCCGCACAGUUUAUUUGAUUGAUUUUGGAUGCAUAGCAAUAUGAAUUAGGAAUGAAUGCACCUACCGUGGUAG